AUCAACUUUCGAUGGUAGGAUAGAGGCCUACCAUGGUGGUAACGGGUAACGGGGUGUUAGGGCACGACACCGGAGAGGGAGCCUGAGAAACGGCUACCACAUCCAAGGAUGGCAGCAGGCGCGCAAAUUACCCAAUCCCGACACGGGGAGGUAGUGACAAUAAAUAACAAUACGGGGUUCUUUAGGAUCUCGUAAUUGGAAUGAGUACAAUUUAAAUCUCUUAACGAGGAACAAUUGGAGGGCAAGUCUGGUGCCAGCAGCCGCGGUAAUUCCAGCUCCAAUAGCGUAUAUUAAAGUUGUUGCAGUUAAAAAGCUCGUAGUUGAAUUUCGGGGUUAGUAGGUUGGUCAUGCCUCUGGUAUGUACUGGUCUCACUGAUUCCUCCUUCCUGAUGAGCCGUAAUGCCAUUAAUUUGGUGUUGCGGGGAAUUUGGACUGUUACUUUGGAAAAAUUAGAGUGUUUAAAGCAAGCUAACGCUUGAAUACAUUAGCAUGGAAUAAUGAAAUAGGACGUUCGAUCCUAUUUUGUUGGUUUCCAGGACUGACCCAAUGAUUAAUAGGGAUAGUUGGGGGCAUUAGUAUUAAAUUGUAAUAGGUCAAUUCCUUGGAUCUAUUGAAGACAAACUACUGCAAAAGCAUUUGCCGACGCUGUUUCCUUAUCGAGGAAACGAAAGUUAGCGCAUCGAACCCAAUCAGAUGCCGUCGUACUCUUACUCCAACUUAUGCUCCUAGUCAUGGCAUGACGCCCCGUUUCCCCUGACUCCGCGGCACCCCCCCCUCCAACCAUCGAGAAUCGCUCC
rnacentral:sRNA from 1 species